rnacentral:lncRNA from 1 species
GUACAGUCUCCUGAUAGUCUCCUGGAGUAUGAAGGCCAGCCUGGUGCUACAUGUGUUUCUUGUGGGACUUUGCCAGGCUCAUCCUCCACCAGACAGGACGAAGCAGACAGAUGGGGUCCCCGUGUCCCAGCUCAGGAUGCUCUCGCUGGGACUGGCUCGCCUCCUGCAUGGGGUAGCGGAGACCGCUGCGCAGAUGGAGCGGCAGGCAGAGCACGUGUUGGCAGGGCUGGACCGAGCCACAAAUAGUCUAGAAAGUCUGCGCAAGCAAAGUUUACAAGCUGGACGGACUCACAAGCAGGUGAGGACGGACCUUCAGAUCUUCAGCGCGAAGGGGGACAGUCUGCAGAGAACGGUCAGAGACCUGCAGGAGAGGCUGGAGGACCUGGAGAAGGAGCAGGGAACCAUGCAGUACUGGACCAACUGGAUCCAUGACAAAGUGAGGAGCCUGACUCAGCCUGGUUCAGCAGCUCAGGCUCAGAUCAACACAAACUCUAUAAAGAAUAUCAUGGAUAAACAGGCCAAGUGGCUUGACAGCCUGACCUCUGAGGUGUCAGCGCGAGACAGACUGAUCAACAGGCGCCUGCGGCUCAUCAAGCAACUGGAAAAACGGGUAGACUAUCACUCCAGACAGUCAUCUGUUUAAUGGACAACAAGGAAAUAACUAGGUUCCCCCUAGGUUACUAUCCAUGACUGCUGUCAUUACUACUGCAGUAGUAGUACAGUAGCAGUUAGAGUUGUGGAUGCCGAGCACAGGGCAAUCUUUGAUUUCCACAGUGAAAUGGUUUAGGAAACUUUGUGUUUUGUAAUGUUGUCAAAAAGGUCAUUUUUGCUGUAGGAAAAUCAUCACCAACGUUUAUGAUAAUAUUCCGCUUGUAAAAGGUUUUCAGCUGAUAUAAACAUAAGAGGUGUCUACUGGUAAGUUCAAAUAGUCCAUUUUGUGACAUUUUUGGACUAUGAUUAAAAAUAUGUUUCUAAGCAAAAGCAAGUUCAACAAGCUGGUUUUCACAAACAACAUUUUUCCUUAAAAUGUUGCGAUGCAGUAGUUUUGGUUUGGAUCCUGCAUCCGUCAGUCAUAUUGUACAUUACUCCUACAGUUUCUGGACAAACAUUAUUGGCUUUGUAAAUUUCCCACGUGUUUGUGUGAGUUUGUUCAAAGUUUCUACCAGCUCAGAGGACAGACGUGUCCGAUGAGACCAGCUGCACCAACACAGUCACAAUAAACAACUGUGGAUCUACUAAAAAGAAAUAGUU